GAUCAUGGCUCAGGAUGAACGCUGGCGGUGUGCUUAACACAUGCAAGUCGAGCGAAGCAAUUUAAGUGAAGUUUUCGGAUGGAUCUUAGAUUGACUGAGCGGCGGACGGGUGAGUAACGCGUGGAUAACCUGCCUCACACAGGGGGAUAACAGUUAGAAAUGACUGCUAAUACCGCAUAAGCGCACAGUACCGCAUGGUAUAGUGUGAAAAACUCCGGUGGU
rnacentral:rRNA from 1 species